rnacentral:rRNA from 1 species
UUCAGUACAAAUAAUAUGCUGGUGAGUUUAUUGCCGCGAAAGGACAAUUNACCCUCUUGCAAGCUUUAUAGGGAUGAAAUCUAGUACACAUCCAGGCGUUUAUAAGCUGAUGGCCCCAAGAAGCGAGACGAUGACGAUAAAGAGCCAGAAGAUGCAGCGUGGUAAACACAACACUGUUUAAUUGGGGCGAUAACCGUGUGAAAUUG